rnacentral:lncRNA from 10 species
CUCUGUCACAGAUCAUUUUCUCCCAGCUCAUCACUGCACAGCCAGCACCCUGCAUAUUUCUUCAUGAUGAUAGCAAAGACUUGAAAUGGUGGGAGAGACAAAUAAACAAGAACUAAGCAAGUGGAGGAGUGGAACUUCAUUCCCAGAAAAACAGUGCCCGAGGAUCUGUCCCUGGCUGCUGUUGGCUGCUUGUUGAAGAUCCACUCCACGGCUGCUGGUAUGAGGAAAAGCUCCUGGGGGUAAUCUUGAGACACAUGAACCAAGUCUGGAGACCCACCUGCAAAGUUCCAGAGAUGACUUCAAGGUGGCGAGUCAACAGCCUCACCAUUGUUGAGAUGACACCAGCCCGAGAUCCAGCUUCCACACAACACCCCUGAUGUUUACCAGCAGGCAUCUCUUGUUUAGUCUCAUUGUCUUUGGCAAGUUCAAUCUCAACCAGAUUGUAGUUCUUCUCAAGAGGACUGAUCCCAGCAGGCUCCAGCCCUAAAGCAGACUGUUCGGGAGAUCUGUGUUAACUUUGUGUUUCAGUCCUCAGUCUCAUGGUACUGGGUCCUACCGUGAGCGGAAAAUCCCUCUCUACAUCAGAACAGCCUUCUGGCCAUGCUACAGUCCUCGCUCAGAAACACGGUUCCCAGUCAUGCUGAACAAUGAAAAAGGGAUAAAGCUCUGCAAGAGAAGAUAGAGUGGGGAGAGAAAGAAAUCUGCAUCGCAUUGUCAGGACUAAACAUUCUUUAAAGAAACCUACAGUGAGGUAAGAAUGGCAUCUGUGCUACUCUAGUCCAAAACGUGGGUUCCCUUCCCCCUAAAAGACAGACAAAGACACCAAGGUACUGAGCACAUCAGUAUAAAAUAGGAGAAGAACAAGACAGGACUGCAGUAACUUGGUCUUUAAAAGAAUCUCUGAUUAAAACGAUAUAAAAUCAUAUUUGCUCAGACUUUGAAGGUAAAGGCAGAGUGUCUUGUACCUUGAUCUCUCCACUCAAUUAUUUUGAGUUACUAAUUUGUAACCAUCCUUUAAAACUUGUAUUUAAAAUUUAAAUAAUAAAAUUUAAAAAUUUAAAUGAUACAAUAACAGAGUGUCUUAAUCAGAUCUAGUAAAUGAAAUGCUUGGGAAAUAUGUGCACUAGAUCAAGUUUCUGAUAGUCUAAGCAAGAAAUUCUUUUAAUUUGUAUUUUUAGUUGAGAAUGUAUUCAUUCCCAGGGGUUUCAACCUGUUCCCAUAGAAAGUAAAGACUGGAGAAGAGAGGCCUUUUGGAUGCUGGAGGAUCUUGGGGAGUCCUAGGGUCAGCAUUUUGGGGGUGCCCCUCCCGUGACCAGAAAUGGAGAAGAAGAAUUAAGAAUGAGGAGUGAAUUUGCCCUGGGACCAAGCUGAGCUUAGAAUUUGGUUAUUUUUCUUUUAAAAAAAUUGUAUUACCCUAUGUUUUAGAAUUGUUCUCUAAAUUCACCUUCUGAUAAAAGAGACAGGUCUUGACUAAUUGAGGUAUCUGAUUAAACAAACAUUUGGCUUGAUUAAAAACUAAGCAAAGAAAAAUUCAAGAAAGAUAGAUCAGAAAUGACAUAAGGAGAAACAACUACUCUGUAAAGGUAGAUUGGUCAAAUAUUUAAAAGACGGUUGAGAUGAAGGGAUAUUUAUAUCUCGAACACACACUGAGAAAAUAAUUUUUGAACAUUUAUUAAAGACCAAAUACUUUAGGUUUUGUUUUAUUGGGGAAAGUAAACUGUUUGCUUGUUCAAUGACUUUCUGGGAGAAUUAGAAAAUUUAAUCACAAAUGAACUGCUGCAAAUCAAAUGUAGUAAAAGCCAUUGUGCAGUAAUCAAGGCCAGAACAUAAAUGGUUCCUUUCCUUGAGCAAGGGGUGUAUUCAAAAGAGGGACCCUGAUUUCUAAAGAUCAAUGAAAAAUAAAGAGUUUGAACCCAGUGUUUUAUUCUUUUGCAAAACAAGCUAAGUUAUAUAAAAAGGUUUUAUUCAAGACAGUAAAUGUCCAUUCAUUCAUUCAUUUAACCACUCUUUAUGAAAUUUUUCCUUGGAUGAGAAAAUUUAAAUAAAGCAGAAAACAUAGUCCUAGACUUAAUUUUAUGAUCUAUUCAAGUAACUAACCAAAGUGUGUAUGUCUUACCUAACAGGCACACCAUAUAUAAAUAUGAUGGAUAAGCAGUGGGUGUGUAAAGACCUUGUGACUACUGAAUGUUUUGUAAAAGGUACGUAUCCAAAAUAAUUAAAAUCAGGACCUCAAAGAACUAUCUGCACUUCCAUGUUCAUUGCAGCAUUAUUCAUAAUAGCCCAAAUGUGGAAACCAUCUAAAUGCUCAUUGACAGACGAAUGGAUAAAGAAAAUGUGGCACAUAUAUACCAUCAAGUAUUAUUUAGCCUUAAUACAGCAGAAAAUCCUGCCAUAUGCAAAAACAUGACUGAACCUACAGGAUGUUAUGGUGAUAUGAUAUCCACUGUCCACGUCAUCCAAAACCUAAGUUUGUUUGGCUUCAGAGUUGCAGAACAUUCCAAUUAUUCCACCUUUCUCAGCUUCCUACCCUUCGUGAUCCACUCCAGCCAACAUGCAAGGAGAAUCUGGGAGAGUAAAGGAGGGCAAAUUGGAAAAUAUGGCUUCUGUUACCCAGUCUCUGCCCAUUUUGGCCUUAAUAAAAUUUUGAUCAAAAUUUAAAAAUUAGGAAUAUGUGUGUUUCACCAUUUAUCUGUGAAGGAAAGAAUCCUGUCUUAUGCCUAAAAAUAUUUUAAUAAUGUGGUAACAUUACCCCUAAUAAUAGAACCUGCCUACGCACCAACACAAUUCCAAUCUAAGAGUUAGUCAUAUCCUCCCAUCAAGACACUGUGUGCAGAUUUGCUUCAGCCAUAUUCAGAUGGGAUUUCAGGUUUCAGUCUGAAGACAAAGAGAUUAUAGAUCAGAAGAGACAUCUAAUUUCAACUAAAUCAUGCUUGCAAACAAAGCAACACACACACACACACACACACACACACACACACACACGAAACCCUGCCUGUUUUCAUUUUUAUUAUCCCAUCUGGCACUACCCAGAUAAGAAAAUAACUAAAAUAAAUAUUUUCCAUUAACCAUUGGCAUAAAUCAUGAUUUACUCUCACAGGUAUCUCAACAGUACCCACACCGGUGAUAGGACUGAUAAUGUUGAUUGACUGUUUACUAUCUGCCAUGCACUUCUAGAAGAGCUUGACUUGGGUUUUCUCAUUUGUUUCUCAAAACAUUCUUAUGAGACAGACACCAUUAUUAUCCCCACGUUACAG